rnacentral:rRNA from 1 species
GACGAACGCUGGCGGCGUGCUUAACACAUGCAAGUCGAACGAAGUGGCGAACGGGUGCGUAACGCGUAAUCAACCUGCCCUUCAGUGGUGGACAACAGUUAGAAACGACUGCUAAUACCGCAUACUGAAGGAGGGGAUUGAGUUGGAUUAGGUAGUUGGAGGGGUAACGGCCCACCACGGGGAGGAUCAGUAGCCGGUCGGAGAGGAUGAACGGCCACAUGGGGACGGAGACCCGGCCCAGACUACUACGGGAGGCAGCAGUGGGGAAUCUUCCGAAAUGGACGAAAGUCUGACGGAGCAACGCCGCGUGAGUGAUGACGGCCUUCGGGUUGUAAAGCUCUGUUAAUCGGGACGCGGUACCGGAAUAGAAAGCCACGGCUAACUACGUGCCAGCAGCCGCGGUAAUAC